CUACCCCACGGCAAGCGCGAAGCGCUCAUAACCUCGGCCAACUGCAACAAACCACAGAUCGAGAAUGAUAAAAGAGGUUAUAAAAGAAGCGUAAAAACAACGUCAAACAUAGGGCGGCCGUAGCCGUGUGGCUAUGGUCGCCUGUGUUGGAGUUCACCCCUGAGCAGUGGAGCAGAGCGGACGUGUUUCUCUCACCCCCGAGCUAAACAUACUUAAGUGCCCGGUCUCAACCGAACGCACAAUUUAAAAAAGACUACCGUUCAAAUGUCUCAAAUGUGCUGGAGCGCACGAAACGCACACGUGCACCAAAUCCCGCGAUAUACUCGCAACAUGUGCAAACUGCGGGGGACCACACCCGGCCAACAAUAUGGAAUGUCCAAAAUGCAUUGCCAAAAUGUAUCUGCAGACAACGAUUCGUGGAAGAACGUCGGCGACCGGAACAGGCCACAAAAGGAUGGCAUACAAAGAAGGGUUUUUCACAGCUUUUCCCUCUAAUAUAGAAAUAGUUGUAUAUAUAACCAUAGUUUAAAAUUUUUAAUCUUAAGUAUCCUAAACACUUCAAAUGUAAAUAAUUGCUUCAGCAAUUAUCUUUAUUGCAUUAUUAAAAGUGUAAGAUAUAUAAACUGAUGCAAACCCAUAACAAUUAUGUUGAAAGAUUUGUAAUAAGAUAAAUGCUUGUACCCUUGCAAAUUUGUAAAAGGGUCAAUAAUUAUGUUUGUGAAUAAAUUUAUUUUUGAAUUUGCCUGUAUCACGAAAAUCUGAUACGAAAGGUCACUGGUUCAAUUCCGAAAAAUCAACAAAAAUUUGUGGUGGCUCUUAAACCUGAAAGGGGUAGAUAUAGGACCAGAGAGAUUUAUAUCAACGUCAAACAUCUUACAAUAGAAUGAAUA